AUUGAACGCUGGCGGCAGGCCUAACACAUGCAAGUCGAGCGCGAGGCGGACGGGUGAGUAAUGUCUGGGACACUGCCUGAUGGAGGGGGAUAACUACUGGAAACGGUAGCUAAUACCGCAUACCAUCGGAUGUGCCCAUAUGGGAUUAGCUAGUAGGUGGGGUAAAGGCUCACCUAGGCGACGAUCCCUAGCUGGUCGGAGAGGAUGACCAGCCACACUGGAACUGAGACACGGUCCAGACUCCUACGGGAGGCAGCAGUGGGGAAUAUUGCACAAUGGGCGCAAGCCUGAUGCAGCCAUGCCGCGUGUAUGAAGAAGGCCUUCGGGUUGUAAAGUACUUUCAGCGGGGAGGCGUUACCCGCAGAAGAAGCACCGGCUAACUCCGUGCCAGCAGCCGCGGUAAUUC
rnacentral:rRNA from 1 species